GUAAGGGAGGAGGUGGUAGUAAAGAAACCUUUAGACUGAAAAAUGUAAAGAUACAAUAUGAAAGGAGAAAAAAAACAACAAAAGAACCCACCAUGGAAGUUUCAACCCACCACCACCACAUGGUGCCAAAAACUUCAAAAUGGAACAUUUCUUAUAUUGGCACAUAUUUUUGUGAGAACAAACAUAUGGUUGUGAGCAUAUUCUUACCUUCAUUGUGAUCUGCAUAUUUCCUCUCUGCAGGAAAAUUUAAAUGCACUGUUGACAUCGUUUUAUAGUCACAUAAGAAGAAAGCAGGCAAAGAAAUGUUAUGAUUGGACUUAUUCAUGAGAUACCACAGUCUCUAAUAUAUGAAGUUUUUCAUAUUUACACUACUGGUGAAUCUCUAGUUGUAUACCUGCCUCUGUGGUCUCAUUGUUGGUCCCUAGGAUAGCUUAUAAAUAAAAACAGAUGAUACUGUCUACUGGCCAGAACAAGCUCACAACUCACUUUCUACUCCAUUCUCAAGUGACUAUGUAGAGAAAGAUGGAUGGUUGAGGUCAGGAUUUGGAGUUCUCUGGCUAACUGCAUAUUAACUUUGUUAUCAUCGCCAAUAUUAUCACCUGACAGAGAAACAGACUUGAUGGAUUUGGGCUUUAGCCCUGACUUCAUCACAAAUAAACAGUGUCAUCUUGGAUGCUAA
rnacentral:lncRNA from 1 species